rnacentral:rRNA from 1 species
UACGUAGGGGGCUAGCGUUGUCCGGAUUUAUUGGGCGUAAAGAGCGUGUAGGCGGCCAGGUAGGUCUGGUGUGAAAACUCGAGGCUUAACCUCGAGAUGUCAUCGGGAAACCAUCUGGCUAGAGUCCGGAAGAGGAGAGUGGAAUUCCUGGUGUAGCGGUGAAAUGCGCAGAUAUCAGGAAGAACACCAAUGGCGAAAGCAGCUCUCUGGGACGGUACUGACGCUGAGACGCGAAAGCGUGGGGAGCGAACAGG